AAGGAUGUGGCUAAGUGGUAGAGGGCUUGCCUGGCCCGUAUAAGGCCCUGGGUUCAAUUCCCAGCAAUAUUU
rnacentral:tRNA from 1 species